rnacentral:rRNA from 1 species
ACUCAAAUGAAUAGACGGGGACUUGCACAAGCGGUGGAUCAUGCGGUUUAAUUCGAUGAUAAACGAAGAACCUCACCAGGGCUUGAAACCUAACUGUAAUCUUUAGGAAACUAGAGACCUCCGCAAGGACUGUUAGGCAGGUGAUGCAUGGCCGUCGUCAGUUCGUGGUUUGAAUUGUUCCCUUAAGUGGGGUAACGAACGCAACCCUCGCUGCCAGUUUUAAAUGUCUGGCGGGACCGCCCAACUCUUUGCACACGAAACAAAAUUUGUUUCGCGAAUAAGGAGUUGGGAGGAAGGUGAGGAUGACGCCAGGUCAGCAUGUCCCUCUGAUGCCCUGGGCUACACGCAUGAUACAAUGGCCGUUACAACGGGACGCAAUGCCGUAAGGUGGAGCAAACCCUAAUAAAGACGGCCCCAGUUCGGAUUGAGGUCUGCAACUCGACCUCAUGAAGCCGGAAUCGCUAGUAAUCGCGGGUCAGCCAUACCGCGGUGAAUACGUUCUCAAGUCUUGCACACACCGCCCGU